GGGUGUACUAAGGAGAGUCACCAGUCCCGGUGCUGUGUCGGUUGAGCCAUCGGACAUAUGGCUGGUAGGUACUGGGUUCGCAGCCCGGUACUGGCUACCACCCAGAACGAAAUUUAACAACUGAAUGGAUAAGGUGUACGACUAACCACUAACAACUGGACAGACAGCCCAGAUAACUGAGACUGUCCAAGCCCGUCAACUGUUGACCACGCCCAAACUGCCUUCACCACAAUCUACGAGACGACAAAAGUAGGAAGUCAACUGUCCGACACAGAACGUGUCUCCAAGACGGCACAUGGUCCGAUUUCAAAUGUGAACUUGGUAACCGUCCAAUCGAAGAUGGGUAUAUACUACUUGAAAAUGUGUGCAUCAAGGUGACAAGUGAUAGGACACAAGUUGCUAGAGCACGUGUGAAAUGCGACCAGCCAGGUGACAGAUUGGUGGUCUUGGACACGGACAAGAAAAAUGAAGUUGUCAGUGUCUACGUCAAUAGAACUAUCGGUAAUUUGUUCGUGGGUCAUCUAUAACAAUUGUUAAUAUAAAAUAUCAAUUUUACGAUAUGAUUCCUUCUUUACCACACUGUGAUGUAUCUGGUUAAGUACCAGUAACAAACGUAUAAUUCUGACACAAAUUUAUAUUCACUCAUGAACUAAACACACCAAAAGUACUAAAUAAAAAAUAGCAUAGGAUAUAGCUCAUUGGAAUCAAUGCAAUCUGUGAUGAUAUGCACCCUUGAGUAACUGUUAAAACAGUAAUAAUAGCAGGCAUUUGUCAACAAUAGACGUAUGCUGUCUCACCGGUUGCUCCCGUCAUGAGUACUGCCUCCACAGGUGUCAACUUUAUCACAUCAUCUAAACCGAUAACAAAUGUGUAAGAAUUUCACCAAAGUGAUGAAAAAUUAUACACAAGUUCAGAAUAUGGUAUAGUCUCAGCUGUCAUUUUGGUCAGUAAUGCAACAUGUUUAGUAGAGAGUUUCUGCACAUCAUAACUCAGAACAAUCUGUGUGUCAGAAUGAUACCAGACGUUAUGAUCCCCUGUUUCUCAAGGCAAAUAAUAGUUCUACUAUGAGAGUAGUAGACAAUGGGAGAUCAGUUCUACUGACUGACCAGUACUGCUUCUAAUUAUAGGCACUGCUACUGGAGUUGAUGCUGAACACAUCUAAGUUUAGUAAAUAAUUAUGAGUAAUCAUGAAAGUAAUCGCUGAUUACGAUUACAUUAGCAAUGUAAUCGAUUACGAUUGCGAUUACAUGGCAUUC